GAUCAUGGCUCAGAUUGAACGCUGGCGGCAGGCUUAACACAUGCAAGUCGAACGGUAACAUAAAGAAGCUUGCUCUUUGAUGACGAGUGGCGGACGGGUGAGUAAUGCUUGGGAAUCUAGCUUAUGGAGGGGGAUAACUACGGGAAACUGUAGCUAAUACCGCGUAGAAUCGAGAGAUGAAAGUGUGGGACCUUCGGGCCACAUGCCAUAGGAUGAGCCCAAGUGGGAUUAGGUUAG
rnacentral:rRNA from 1 species